rnacentral:rRNA from 1 species
UUGCUCUGAUUUGCUUAUUGCACCACAUGUGUUUUUCUUUGAAACAAACUUGCUUUGGCGGUGGGCCCAGCCUGCCGCCAGAGGUCUAAACUUACAACCAAUUUUUUAUCAACUUGUCACACCAGAUUAUUACUAAUAGUCAAAACUUUCAACAACGGAUCUCUUGGUUCUCGCAUCGAUGAAGAACGCAGCGAAAUGCGAUACGUAAUAUGAAUUGCAGAUAUUCGUGAAUCAUCGAAUCUUUGAACGCACAUUGCGCCCUCUGGUAUUCCGGAGGGCAUGCCUGUUUGAGCGUCGUUUCUCCCUCAAACCGCUGGGUUUGGUGUUGAGCAAUACGACUUGGGUUUGCUUGAAAGACGGUAGUGGUAAGGCGGGAUCGCUUUGACAAUGGCUUAGGUCUAACCAAAAACAUUGCUUGCGGCGGUAACGUCCACCACGUAUAUCUUCAAACUUUGACCUCAAAUCAGGUAGGACUACCCGCUGAACUUAAGCAUAUCAAAAGCCGGGAGGAA